rnacentral:rRNA from 1 species
GCGGCACGCUUCAUACAUGCAAGUCGAGGGGCAGCAUAAAGUACUUGUACUUUGAUGGCGACCGGCGAACGGGUGCGUAACGCGUAUGCAACUUACCUUUUACUAGAGAAUAGCCAAGAGAAAUUUUGAUUAAUGCUCUAUACUCUUAAUAACUCACAUGAGUUUUUAAGAAAAGCUCCGGCGGUAAAAGAUGGGCAUGCGUCCUAUUAGCUUGUAGGUGAGGUAACGGCUCACCUAAGCUCCGAUAGGUAGGGGUCCUGAGAGGGAGAUCCCCCACACUGGUACUGAGACACGGACCAGACUUCUACGGAAGGCAGCAGUAAGGAAUAUUGGACAAUGGAGGCAACUCUGAUCCAGCGAUGCCGCGUGAAGGAAGACGGCCCUAUGGGUUGUAAACUUCUUUUAUACAGGAAGAAACCUUUCCACGUGUGGAAAGCUGACGGUACUGUAAGAAUAAGGAUCGGCUAACUCCGUGCCAGCAGCCGCGGUAAUACGGAGGAUCCAAGCGUUAUCCGGAAUUAUUGGGUUUAAAGGGUCCGCAGGCUGUUUGUUAAGUCAGGGGUGAAAUCCUACCGCUCAACGGUAGAACUGCCUUUGAUACUGGCAAACUUGAGUUAUUGUGAAGUAGUUAGAAUGUGUAGUGUAGCGGUGAAAUGCAUAGAUAUUACACAGAAUACCGAUUGCGAAAGCAGAUUACUAACAAUAUACUGACGCUGAGGGACGAAAGCGUGGGUAGCGAACAGGAUUAGAUACCCUGGUAGUCCACGCCGUAAACGAUGGUCACUAGCUGUUUGAUGUACAUUGGUACAUUGAGUGGCUAAGCGAAAGUGAUAAGUGACCCACCUGGGGAGUAC